AGGUAAAUUUCUCCUAAGGCUAAAUAACGGCGAGAGACCGAUAGCGAACAAGUACCGUGAGGGAAAGAUGAAAAGAACUUUGAAAAGAGAGUUAAACAGUACGUGAAAUUGUUGAAAGGGAAACGAUUGAAGCCAGUCGUACCUUCGGGUAAUCAGCCUUUCGGGUGCGAUUCUGUGGAGUGUGAGGAGCUUAACACCUUCAUGCUUUGCAUAUUUGUGCUCUUGGGUGUACUUGCCCGUGUGGUUGGUUAACAUCAAUUUUGGUUAUCAUAAAAUGAUUGGAGGAAUGUAGCUUCGAUCUCGUAUUGAAGUGUUAUAGCCUUCGGUAGAUGUGAUGAUCGAGAUUGAGGAUUGCAACGGAUACCCUUCGGGGCUACCUGUCUGGUCUCUGAUCGUUGCUCUGGUGCCGAAAGCUUGCUUACGGUUAUCAAAGUCAAUGGUCAAUAGGUUANAACGGGUUAAAUUCGUUAAGGAUGUUGACGUAA
rnacentral:rRNA from 1 species